rnacentral:rRNA from 1 species
CAGCCGCCACGGGAAUACGAAGGGUGCAAGCGUUACUCGGAAUUACUGGGCGUAAAGCGUGCGUAGGUGGUGGUUUAAGUCCGUUGUGAAAGCCCUGGGCUCAACCUGGGAAUUGCAGUGGAUACUGGGUCACUAGAGUGUGGUAGAGGAUAGUGGAAUUUCCGGUGUAGCAGUGAAAUGCGUAGAGAUCUGGAGGAAUACCGAUGGCGAAGGCAGCCAUCUGGCCUAAUACUGACGCUGAGGUACGAAAGCAUGGGGAGCAAACAGGAUUAGAUACCCCGGUAGUCCCUGUCUCUUAUAC